rnacentral:rRNA from 1 species
AGGACCUUGCGCUUUUGGAGCGGCCGAUGCCUGAUUAGCUUGUUGGUAAGGUAAAAGCUUACCAAGGCUUCGAUCAGUAGCUGGUCUGAGAGGACGACCAGCCACACUGGGACUGAGACACGGCCCAGACUCCUACGGGAGGCAGCAGUGGGGAAUUUUGGACAAUGGGGGCAACCCUGAUCCAGCCAUGCCGCGUGAGUGAAGAAGGCCUUCGGGUUGUAAAGCUCUUUCAGCCGGAACGAAACGGUUACGGAUAACACCCGUGACUACUGACGGUACCGGAAGAAGAAGCACCGGCUAACUACGUGCCAGCAGCCGCGGUAAUACGUAGGGUGCGAGCGUUAAUCGGAAUUACUGGGCGUAAAGCGUGCGCAGGUGGUUUUGUAAGUCAGAUGUGAAAGCCCCGGGCUCAACCUGGGAACU